UACAGAGGGUGCGAGCGUUGUCCGGAAUCACUGGGCGUAAAGGGCGCGUAGGCGGCCUGCUAAGUCGAACGUGAAAUCCCCGGGCUCAACCCGGGAACUGCGUCCGAUACUGGCAGGCUUGAAUCCGGGAGAGGGAUGUGGAAUUCCAGGUGUAGCGGUGAAAUGCGUAGAUAUCUGGAGGAACACCGGUGGCGAAGGCGGCAUCCUGGACCGGCAUUGACGCUGAGGCGCGAAAGCCAGGGGAGCAAACGGG
rnacentral:rRNA from 1 species